rnacentral:tRNA from 1 species
GCAGGGCGUAGCUCAGUUGGUAGAGCAUCAGCCUUCCAAGCUGAGGGUCGCGAGUUCGAGUCUCGUCGCCCGCU